rnacentral:rRNA from 1 species
CCCGAAAAGGAAGGGUGCCCUUCGGGGAAUUCCGAGACAGGUGCUGCAUGGCUGUCGUCAGCUCGUGCCGUGAGGUGUUGGGUUAAGUCCCGCAACGAGCGCAACCCUAUUGCCAGUUGCUACCAGGUAAUGCUGGGCACUCGUGGUGAGACUGCCCCGGUUAACGGGGAGGAAGGUGGGGACGACGUCAAGUCAUCAUGGCCCUUACGCCUAGGGCUACACACGUACUACAAUGGCGCAUACAAAGGGCAGCGAUACCGCGAGGUGGAGCCAAUCCCAAAAAGUGCGUCCCAGUCCGGAUUGCAGUCUGCAACUCGACUGCAUGAAGUUGGAAUCGCUAGUAAUUCGAGAUCAGCAUGCUCGGGUGAAUGCGUUCCCGGGCCUU